UGAUCGGUAUAGCCAGCUUCGCGACCUCACCUGUCUCGGCUGGCAACCCGAUUUUCGAGUUUUGUUCUUUUUCUUUGUUUCUUCCGUGUCCACGUUGUUGCUGUCGCGUGUCAACGGUUAUACAACGGUGUUACUAAAAUAUUUUUAUUUCUGUUUUAAGUAGUAUGGUGCGUGUGUGGCAGUACUCACGUUGGACAAUGUUCCAGAAGAACUUUUCGUCUAGUUGAACUAUCUGCUUGAGUUGUCCAUUUCGGGUUAGUACUUGCUUUCCAUACCACGUCCUUUUUUUCCAUCCCCCUCUCUUUUUGUGUUACUCGAAAUUCAUUCCGUUCAUGUUUUCGUAAGUAGCGUCCUAAAGGACUAGUACAGAUGUUGGCUAGCGUUUCACAACUUUCGUUCACCUAUAGUUGAACGGCCUACUUGUUUCUAUUUUUGGGAAAGUUAGUUUAGUCUCAUUCUGAACCGCUUCGUUAUUUCGCGCAUAUCAUCCGUACCACGCUUUGUUUUUUCCGUCUUCGCCCGUUCCUGUCUGGCUGGAAGCACAUCCAGUCUGCGACUGUGAGCUACAGGUCUGCACGGUGGAGAGGGGCUUCCCCACGCCUGGGUCAAGCACAUCCAGUCUGCCGCUGUGAGCUACAGACGGACACUCCCUCCAAGGUCUGACUAGGACAUGGGUCAGACAACAGCAAGACAGCUGCUAAAUAUAUGGCAGAAGAGCUUUCCAGGGCAGAAAGGUAUUGCACAGUUGACAAAAAGGGCGACUGUCGAGGAGUGGAGCCACCAGAAGAUCUGGAGAAAAUGCAUACUAUUAAAAUUAUCAUCUUAUUUCAAUAUA